rnacentral:rRNA from 1 species
GACAGAGGCCCCAAGCGUUAGGCGGAAUCACUGGGCUUAAAGCGUGUGUAGGCGGAUCGUUAAGUGUCUUGUGAAAGUCCCACGGCUCACCCGUGGAACUGCUGGGCAUACUGGCGAUCUUGGGCCAACUAGGGGCAGCCGGAACAAGCGGUGGAGCGGUGAAAUGCGUAGAUAUCGCUUGGAACGCCGAAGGUGAAAACAGGCUGCUGGGUGUGCCGACGCUGAGACACGAAAGCCAGGGGAGCAAACGGGG